rnacentral:rRNA from 1 species
GUGCCAGCAGCCGCGGUAAUACGGAAGGUCCGGGCGUUAUCCGGAUUUAUUGGGUUUAAAGGGAGCGCAGGCUGAUGCUUAAGCGUGACGUGAAAUGCCGCGGCUCAACCGUGGAAGUGCGUCGCGAACUGGGUGUCUUGAGUGGGUACGACGCCGGCGGAAUUCGUGGUGUAGCGGUGAAAUGCUUAGAUAUCACGAAGAACCCCGAUUGCGAAGGCAGCCGGCGAGUCCUCAACUGACGCUAAAGCUCGAAGGUGCGGGUAUCGAACAGGAUUAGAUACCCUGGUAGUCCGCACGGUAAACGAUGGAUGCCCGCUGUCGGCGAUAGAAUGUCGGUGGCCAAGCGAAAGCGUUAAGCAUCCCACCUGGGGAGUACGCCGGCAACGGUGAAACUCAAAGGAAUUGACGGGGGCCCGCACAAGCGGAGGAACAUGUGGUUUAAUUCGAUGAUACGCGAGGAACCUUACCCGGGCUUGAACUGCCGGCGAACGAUUCAGAGAUGAUGAGGUCCUUCGGGACGCCGGUGGAGGUGCUGCAUGGUUGUCGUCAGCUCGUGCCGUGAGGUGUCGGCUUAAGUGCCAUAACGAGCGCAACCCCUGUCGCCGGUUGCCAUCAGGUGAAGCUGGGCACUCGGGCGAUACUGCCACCGCAAGGUGCGAGGAAGGUGGGGAUGACGUCAAAUCAGCACGGCCCUUACGUCCGGGGCUACACACGUGUUACAAUGGGUGAUACAGAGAGUCAGUCCAACGCAAGUUGGGUUCAAUCAUGAAAGUCAUCCUCAGUUCGGAUUGGGGUCUGCAACCCGACCCCAUGAAGCUGGAUUCGCUAGUAAUCGCGCAUCAGCCAUGGCGCGGUGAAUACGUUCCCGGGCCUUGUACACACCGCCCGU